UACGUAGGGUGCAAGCGUUGUCCGGAAUUAUUGGGCGUAAAGAGCUCGUAGGCGGUUUGUCGCGUCUGCUGUGAAAUCUGGAGGCUCAACCUCCAGCCUGCAGUGGGUACGGGCAGACUAGAGUGCGGUAGGGGAGAUUGGAACUCCUGGUGUAGCGGUGGAAUGCGCAGAUAUCAGGAAGAACACCCGUAGCGAAGGCGGCACUCUGGGACGGUACUGACGCUGAGACGCGAAAGCGUGGGGAGCGAACAGG
rnacentral:rRNA from 1 species